GUUGCUGGCAGCUCCCAGAUGCAGGAGGAAAGGCUCAGAAUUGCCUUCCUAAUAAGGAAUUGUUGAUGUGAACUUUGGACGGCAAACACUGCUUACAUUUCCUUUUCCGUUUUGAUGUGUUAAUGGUGUGCGGCAACGCCGUGACGCACGGGGACGCAGGUGACGGGUGCCCCCCCCGCAAGGGGACCAUGCACCUGUUUGAUAAUAAGGCAUGCUUCUCUUACUGCAAAUAAAAACUUCAAUGGUUUUCUGCCAGAAAGACCCUGUCUUUUAUGUAGGAUACAUAGAGGAUCAUUUGGCAAGUGAUUGGGGAUUUUGGGUUAAACUAAAAAUAAAUUAAUUUCAUUUUAUAGCACUCUGAACACAUUUGAGUUAAUUAUUCAUUGAGAAUUUGAAUAGCACACACUGUUCUGACUUCCGACUUCUCCCAAUGAAUGGCAUUUGCUGUAACGUGACAAAACCCUGAGUCUUAGAAUUAUUGGGUAAUGUGAAAAAAGGAAAAGUUGGUUCUCUGUUGUUUUGCUUUAAGGAAAUUAUAUUAUUUUACAGUCACUUAGUUUUCUCCUUUCCAAUAAGAAAAAUUGCUUUCUUACUACCUGAAAAUUCGUGAAGGUCAAGGGGACACACCCUGCAGUGCAUUAAAAGCCACCAUCAAAUGUGGACGUGGACUCAGUUUCCCUCUGUUCUCUCCCACCCUCAAAUGUGGACGUGGACUCAGUUUUCCUCUGUUCUCGCCCACCGUCAAAUGUGGACGUGGACUCAGUUUUCCUCUGUUCUCGCCCACCGUCAAAUGUGGACGUGGACUCAGUUUUCCUCUGUUCUCUCCCACCGUCAAAUGUGGAUGUGGACUCAGUUUCCUUCUGUUCUCACCCACCGUCCAAUGUGGACGUGGACUCAGUUUUCCUCUGUUCUCACCCACCGUCAAAUGUGGACGUGGACUCAGUUUUCCUCUGUUCUCUCCCACCGUCAAAUGUGGACGUGGACUCAGUUUCCUUCUGUUCUCACCCACCGUCAAAUGUGGACGUGGACUCAGUUUUCCUCUGUUCUCUCCCACCGUCAAAUGUGGAUGUGGACUCAGUUUCCUUCUGUUCUCACCCACCGUCAAAUGUGGACGUGGACUCAGUUUUCCUCUGUUCUCUCCCACCGUCAAAUGUGGAUGUGGACUCAGUUUCCCUCUGUUCUCGCCCACCGUCAAAUGUGGACGUGGACUCAGUUUUCCUCUGUUCUCACCCACCGUCCAAUGUGGACAUGGACUCAGUUUCGCUCUGUUCUCUUCCACCGUCCAGUGUGGACGUGGACUCAGUUUCCCUAUGUCCUCUCCCACCAUCCAGUGUGGAUGUGGACUCUGUUUCCCUCUGUUCUUGCCCAUCCUCAAAUGUGGAUGUGGACUCAGUUUCCCUCUGUUCUUGCCCAUCCUCAAAUGUGGACGUGGACUCAGUUUCCCUGUGUUCUCGCCCACCAUCCAAUGUGGAUGUGGGCUCAGUUUCCCUCUGUUUUCUCCCACCCUCAAAUGUGGAUGUGAACUCAGUUUCCCUCUGUUCUCUCCCACCCUCAAAUGUGGAUGUGAACUCAGUUUCCCUCUGUUCUCUCCCACCCUCAAAUGUGGAUGUGGACUCAGUUUCCCUCUGUUCUCUCCCACCGUCCAAUGUGGACGUGGACUCAGUUUCCUUCUGUUCUCGCCCACCAUCCAAUGUGGACGUGGACUCAGUUUCCCUCUAUUCUAGCCCAGCUUGCCACCAUGGUUCAUUUCACAUUCACUCAGGAAAGGAAGAAACAUUGUUUUUAAUAGGUAUGAAGGCAGUUGUUUUUAACCUAAGGAACAGAACAUAAUUCUAGCAAUGGAAAUUACCAACCAAGUGAGUCUGUGUGAGGUUUGGAAGAAAAAAAGGAUUUUCACUUCCACACUCUGUGUGUGCGCACCUCCCCCAGUUGAGAGUCACAGAUUUAAUUACUUUAAUUUUGAGCUUAAAAUAAUUUGACAGCCUAACAAAAACUACUACAGUCCUAUAAAAUUCUGCUUUUGUGUUUGGUUUUUCAGUUGCUUGGCUUAAUAUGGUGAAUGAAUGCAUUAUGAGUUGUUAUUUUAGUAAUUGCUAUAAAAAUUAAUGUAUGUUAUAGCCAAGUGUUAUAAAAUUAAUUUAACAGCAAAGUAAAACUAAAGCUGCAUUGAUUUCUCGCUGUACUUGUGCUUAAAGACGGCUCCAUGAGGCAGGCCCUGUGAUCCUGCAGGCCGGCAGGAGCAGGUGCUACCUGGCUGGUGCGGUCGCCACCCGUCCCCUCUUGCUGCCAGGCAGCUUUGCAGUUUCCAGGCUAUGGGGGAGUCGAGGCGGGUGGUCAGUAAGAGACAGUGGGGAGUUGGGUGGUGCAGGUUGGCGUGGGGUGGAAGGAGGCGUGGAGUGUGGGUGUGGAGAGCCUGGGGGAGGCUGGACAGCAGCUCCAGUACCUGCGCAGGGGGACAGGGUGCAGGGGGCACGGGGCAGUGAGUAGCUCCUGGAAACAGCCAUUGGGGUUUUUAUAAAUGGGCCUGUCUUCAGCUCUGCACCACAUUCCUGCUGGGGCCGGGUGGAGAUUGGAGGUGUCGAGCGUGCGUUUCUCCAGGUGAGGGCCCAGCUGACACAGCCCGUGUUUCCUGGAGGCCCCUCACCUGGGAACGUGCCCCUGCUCUUCUCAGAACAAAAUAAAUCUUAAACUCUACACAUCACCUUUCCAGAAAGUGUUUAAGUCUGUGUGCCUGUUAACUCACCUAAAUUUAAAGAGUAAUGAUACAAUAUGCUUCUUUUUAGGGGAGAAAACCUAGCUGAUUUAAAAGAUAAAAUCAGAGGUCGGGGGACGCAGCAUUUUGGAGGAGACGGGGUUUCUGUCCUAGUGGGCAGCAGUGUUUCCUGAACUACUGUGUUUGCUCUAUUAUUACAUUACAGAAGUGACACGUCAAACCUAGGGAAAUGGAAGGCAAAGUGCCCCCCCCCCCAUUCAGAGAUAAACGUUAUCAACGUAUUCAUGCACUUCCUUCUGUUUUUGCUGUUUGCUUUUUAUUUUAAGACCACGUUCAUAGGAUGGGUAUAUAAUUGUUUAUGGUGACUUUAAAAGCACCUUUCUUGUUAAAAAGAGUAUUUUUUCAUUCUGGAAAAUUUAGACAACAUGUUUUGUUUAAAAAUUAGUUAUAAUACCACCAUCAAGUCAUCAUUGUUUUUAUACAUUGUCUUGGUCUCUUUAUGGACUUAAUAUAUACAAUUUAACAGAUGGGAAAUAACAUAAUUUUAUGAGUAAAAUGUUUGUUGGCGUUAGAGAUGGAGCAGAGAGGAGGCACAGGGCUUCCUGCUGGCUGAGGUGUGUGGCCAGGGUGUGACCAGUGGCCUCCCAAGUUUAGGGUCUGCACGGAGAAGGAUUUCUAAAUCACCUUACACCACACCCCCUGCAGCCAUGUGCCACUUUGAUAAGGGGGUGUACUCUGAUAGAUUUUUCAAGACAAGAUUUUGCUGGAUCUGAGGCUGUUUUGGCUGCUUCUGGAGACGGCAGCUCUGGAACGUUCAUGCCAGCUCUCCCUCAAGACCCCACGGAUGCCAUGUCCUCAUCUUUUGGAAUCCAGUGUUGUAGAGGAGAAGUCUGAGGCCAGUUUGAUUUUUGCUUCGUGGUAGGAAACUGAUGUUUUCAGGCUUUUCCCCUUUAUUUCCAUGAUGAAGAUGAUGUCCCACCUCAUCCGGAGGGGUCUUUCUUGUCUUGUCGGGAACGUCCAGCCUUUAGGUGCCUCUUCAGGUCCUCAGUCCCUUUCUCAGCUUCCUCACAGUCCUCCCUAUCUCAUCCAUCUUCACUGUAAUUCGGUUAUUUUUUCAUUUUUACGCUCACUUUCCCAUGCGACUUUUGUUCUUGUUUCACAGAUGCUGGUGCUAAAUUGUACGUCUGAGGCCCAGGGGCCGUGUUUCAUUCUGUCUGCCUCUGCAUGUACUUUUGAGAAGUAGGGGCGGGGUUGCCCCCUAGGUGCUGUUUCAGCUGGACCUGCCCAGGCUCCCUGAAGUGGGGGCAUUGGGCAGAGCCCAUGUGGCUCUGUGGUGGGCCGUGUUGCUGAACCCUACGUCUGAGAUUUGGGGGCCGUGUUUCAUUCUGUCUGCCUCUGUGUGUACUUUUGAGAAGUGGGGGUGGGGGUUGCCCCCGGACGUUGUUUCAGCUGCACCUGCCCAGACUCCCUGAAGUGGGGGUGUCAGGCAGAACCCGUGUGGCUCUACGGCGGGCCGUGUUGCUGACAGAGCAAGAAGCUGCGCUCCCAGGAUGCGCCUGCAGCUGUGGGCAAGUCUGGGAUUGUGAUGGGAUCGUUUCCUUCUCUAAAAUACAUCUCAACUAUUAUCCAGAGGGUUGGCUGUAGGCUUUCAACAGCUUCACUCUUCUUAGUGACCAGGAGACAAUUCACUAAACAGAGUUGCUGUCAGGGUUUAAUUAGUCAGGAGUUUCUGCCAGAGGCUGGCAGGACAGCUCCCUCUGCAAGCCUCCUGCAGCCUCCCCAUCCCCACUCUUGGGCCCGGCCACCUGCCUUGGUCUGCAGAAGGUGCACAUUCUCUGUUCUCCUGAGGGGCUCCUGGACUUCAGGACAGCCUUGGCAAGCUGAUGUGUAACUCCCAGUCUCUUCUCUUUUUUAGUAAGGAAUACGCUCACGGAAUCCUGAUCUUCUAGAUUGUUUCAUCUUUUUAAAACAGCCGCAGCUUCCUAAGCCACCUUGUGUCUGAGUGUGAAUCACUUACUAUUUUUUACUGCAGAAUGAACAGAACUGGAAUCGUAGGAUUUAGAGGGUGAUACAAAGACAGAGGUUAGGAUAUUCUAUUUUCUCACCUCUUCCAUACACUUUUUCCUUAAAUGCACCCUCAUAUGUCUGUGAAGUUCUUCCCAAUUCUGUAACUUCACUCCACCCUCAAGUGGAUUAUUUGUGAACAGUAACAAGUAUUGAUGUGUGCAACUCUGCAACCCAGCCGGAAUUAAUGCUUUUUAUUUAUCAAUGGAUGGUCAUUGGAUGGCCAGAGGGAUUCCCUGUGCAUUGUGGGGGCCCAGUGCCUGCUUGUGAGUGACAUGGACAUAACGAGGGUUAGGGAAUCUCAGCCUCUGUGAUUCGAGUAGUGACAUCAAGGCAGGUGGAUGACUCUUUGAGCUUGGUAUGCUCCUGGGUGGCACAGCACAGCUGACGUGGAGUGGGGCAAGGGCUUGUUCCACGGGCUUCUGUGUUUUUUCUGUUUUUGUUUUUUUUGAGAUGGAGUCUCACUCUGUCACCCAGGCUGGAGUGCAGUGGUGCGAUCUCAGCUCACUGCAGGCUCCGCCUCCCGGGUUCGUGCCAUUCUCCUGCCUCAGCCUCCCCAGUAGCUGGGACUGUAGGUACCCGCCACCACGCCUGGCUAAUUUUUUUGUAUUUUUAGUAGAGACGGGGUUUUACCGUGUUAGCCAGGAUGGUCUCGAUCUCCUGACAUCAUGAUCCACCUGCCUUGGCCUCCCAAAGUGCUGGGAUUACAGGCUUGAGCCACCGUGCCUGGCCUGUUAUUUUUUUUUUGAGACGGAGUCUUACUCUGUCGCCCAGGCUGGAGUGCGGUGGCGCGAUCUUGGCUCACUGCAACCUCCACUCACUGCAACCUCUGCCUCCCGGUUCAAGCAAUUGUCCUGCCUCAGCCCCCCAAGUAGCUGGGAUUACAGGCAUGUGCCACGCCUGGCUGAUUUUUGUAUUUUUAGUAGAGACGGGAUUUUGCCAUGUUGGUCUGGCUGGUCUUAAACUGUUGGCCUCAAGUGAUCUGCCCGCCUUGGCCUCCCAAAGUGCUGAGAUUACAGGUGUGGGCCACCGUGCCCGGCCCUGUGUUUGAUUCUUAAAUCUUCUUUUUCUUUUUAAUCUUUCUCUUUCUGGAGGACCACUCAGUGGAUAUGAGGAAGAGUUCACAGAUGUCCAUAUUACAUUCCUUUCUUAAAUUAGCCUCCCUUGAACACUGCUGUAGGGUACAGAUGCAUGAAGGGCUGAAAGGGUGGUUGUGUCCCAGUAAGUGUGAGCGUGGAGCUGGUCUGUGAGACCCCGGUGCCGGUGAGGGCACCCGUGUGCGAUGGCCUGGGAUGGGGGUGUGUGGAGCCCUGACCCUGGCACACGCCCUUCAGCUUUGAUGUUUCAGGCCCUUGCUCUGGUCAUCAGUGAGCAGAAGGUCUAACAGCAGUGAUAUUUAUCACUAGUUGUGUUGGCCAACGUGUUAGGAGGGUGAAGCUGUUUGACUUAAGCUGCUUGAUUGGUUUGCAUUUAAAUAGACACCUGGUAGCCUGGUGCCUGGACACUUGCUCUGUGACCUGCCCCAUGUGGCUCCUCCCUCUGGUAUGCAUUAGAUGAGAUGGGCGUGUUUAGGGUGAUGUGGCCCUAGACUGGAAUGCAUUAGAAGUGCAAACCCCGCCCCACCCCAGACCUGCCCCACCCCAGUGUGACGUUAGGAGGCGGAGGCCCAGCAUCCUUCACCUGCCCUCCAGGUAGGUCUGAGGAUGCUGAGGUUUCAGAGCACUGCUUUGCUAGCACACCAGCGAGUCCUGCUUAAAGAGGCCAGGAUCUGAAAUGGCAGGUUACCAAAUUGUGUAGCAGAAAAAUAGAAAUGUUUCCUUAGAAUGGGUGUAGGAAGGAAAAUAAUUUCCUUCUUCAUAUCUGGAAAAUAUUUCAAAUUAGUAGGCACUAUUUGGAAUUAUUAGUGGUCUCCUGUAUUUCUUUCUUUCUUUUCUUUUUUUGAUACAGGGUCUCGCCCUGUUGCCCAGGCUGGAGUGCAGUGGUGCAAUCGUGGCUCCCUGCAACCUCUGCCUCCGGGCUCAGGUGAUCCUCCCACCUCAGCCCCCUGAGUAGCUGGGACUACAGGCGCGCUACCACACCUGGCUAAUUUUUGUAUUUUUUUUUGUAGAGACGGGGUCUUGCUAUGUUGCCCAGGCUGGUCUCGAAUUCCAGCAUUUCUCCUGCCUCAGCCUCCCAAAAUGCUUCUGUACCCCUGCCCCAACAAGGAAGGACAAGAGGUGUGAGCCACACGCCUGUCCUCCUGUCUUUCCUUGUUGGAGCAGGGAUGUAGAAGCAAUUGCCGCAGCCGACUUGAGUACAUCUCACUUUACUUAGCUUUCCUCACGGGUAAUCUGGCAGUGCUGUGCACCAGUGCUGCUGGCCAGCUGUUUUUUCAAUGUACUGGCAGAAAUCAAGCUGAGACCCGGGUUCCUUUCUCCCUGGGUACUGACCAGGUGGGAGAGGAGGGGCGUUGUGUGAGUAUCAUCUUGAUGAGGGCUGGUGGGGGAACAUCAACUUUAAGGUGCCUGGGAUCUAAGGCAUGGAACCCAGCAGUGCAGAGGAACGUAGGGGAUGUAGCCUCGGGAGCAGAGACGUGCGGGCCGGUGCCCUCGUUCCUGGCGGGGUCUGAGUGCAGGAAUAGGUUGGUGAUCCAGCCGAGGUCACAAGACCUGCCUGGAUGCAUGGCUGGUGUCCGUGCUGGCCCCAAAACUGCCCAUUUGGGGAUUCCCCUCAGUCGCAGACUCACCUAGGGGUCCGGAGAGCGUCCCCAGUAUGACCUCAAAGAACGAGGUGUUGCCUUGAGAUCUUCCAAGGUGAGGGUAGGAAUUUUUUUUUUUUUUUUGCAAUUAGCAAUAAUUUGUUGUGAAUGAUCUUGGACCUAUUUUCCACUUCUUUGUGUAGGAAGAGAGACAGAACAAAAAGUCUCAAUGUGCCAGAUGCCACGUAAUGAAGCCAUGGGGUUAACGUUGUUGAUUAUUACGUAGCAUCACGUUAAUUGGAACAUAUUCACACGUGUCCACAGCGUGUGCGUGUGCCCAGUCUGAUGAGCACGUUGGGUUAGGGUCGCUGCUGGUUCAUGCAGACCCUCUGGGUGGGGCUGUCUCUGUGGCUUGGCCAACACCCUUGCUGCUGCCGCUGUUGGAGUCUCCAGCCUUGACCGGCCUUGCUGCCCCCAGGUUCUCGGGGCCUGCGCACCCUCUUCCCGGCGCGCACCCUCUUCCCGGCGCGCAGCCUCUUCCCCGCGCGCAGCCUCCUCCCCGCUUGCACCCUCAUCCCCGCGCGCACCCUCUUCCCCGCGCGCAGCUUCUUCCCCGCGAGCACCCUCAUCCCGGCGCGCACCCUCGUCCCCCGUCGCGUCCACCCGGGGUCUGUCGUGUGUUUCUACUCUGGCCAUGCCCGCCUCUUGCUGUGAGCUAAGUUUAUUGAGGUGCGGUAAGAAACCAACAGAGGGGAGCAUAGUCCGAGGCUGUCAGGGCGGGAGGGAGCCUUGGGCAUCUCUUCCCCAGCUCUGGCGACCCACCCUUCGGGAUGUAGUGCAGGGGAGAGGUGAGUUCUAAAGGUAAGGCUGCGGUGAUUUCCUGAGCCUUAAUUAUCUAACACUUGGCCAUCUGCCGUGUGGCCCUAUCGAAGGGCACCUCUGGGGACAAAGCAAAGCCUUUGGUGGCCGUGGGCGGGGCGGCCGUGCCUGUCUGUGUGUCCUGCACGGGGAGCCCUGCCAGCCGUGGGGACGUUCAGGCACUUGCCACCUGUGGGAGGUGUGUGUUAGCCGCGUGGUAGGUGCGGAUGCGUGGAGGGACAGGCACAGGCCCACAGGCGUGGCGGGUGUGGGAGAUUUAGCCGCGUGGUAGGUGCGGAUGCGUGGAGGGACAGGCACAGGCCCACAGGCGUGGCGGGUGUGGGAGAUUUAGCCGCGUGGGGAUGCGUGGAGGGACAUGCACAGGCCCACAGGCAUGGCGGGUGUGGGAGAUUUAGCCGUGUGGGGAUGCGUGGAGGGACAUGCACAGGCCCACAGGCAUGGCGGGUGUGGGAGAUUUAGCCGUGUGGGGAUGCGUGGAGGGACAUGCACAGGCCCACAGGCGUGGCGGGUGUGGGAGAAAGCGCGCGGAGUGCCCAGCAGAUGCUGUGUGGUCAGCGGAAGCCAUGGACACAGGCCGGGCGGGGGAGGCACAUCUGGAAAUACCCUUUAAGCAGCAUCAAUGGAUAAUGCUGUGAUUUGGCUUCCUUUCGUGGUCCAAAACACGAUCUAGUGAUGUCGCUGAUUUGUGUGUACCUGGGACAAGGAACUAAAUGUAUUAGGGCCUUGAUGUAAUCUGUAAAACAGGCACAAUAUGCCUAUUUCAAAGAGGCAGUGGACAUGAAAGAGUGCUCUGAACUAUUCAGUGCAAUGAGAAUGCUUCGUUGUCAUUAGCAAAGUAAAAUGCCUCCAAGGUGAGCUUGCCAUGCGUUUAAUGACCGUGGACAUGAACUUCCUAAACCUGCCAGAAAGUGCUUCCAGCGUGGCUUCAUGCAGUGGCUUCAGUGGAGAAUAUGCAUAUGCGGCUGAUACUGAGAGCUGGGCAGCACCCUGACGGCCUGACACAUCCCCAUGUGUGGACCGUGAACCGGGCAGCACCCUCCCGACCUGACACGUCCCCAUGUGUGGACCGUGAGCCGGGCAGCACCCUCCCGACCUGACGCGUCCCCAUGUGUGGACCGUGAGCCGGGCAGCACCCUCCCGACCUGACGCGUCCCCAUGUGUGGACCGUGAGCCGGGCAGCAUCCUCCCGACCUGACGGGUCCCCUUGUGCCCAUUGUGGGACCUCCAUCAUGCAGGCAGGUGACAUGCAUCAAACUCAAUGCAGGGAGGAGGGUCCAGGAUUGUGUGCGGGCUCCGUGUCUCGUCCUUCUGAGGCCUUCUGGGAAGCCAGGAGGGCAGUGGGGUCUUUUGUGUGUUUCCUCCUGGUGGCCGUGGGUUUGUAGAAAUGGCUUUUUGCAAAAGGGCCCGGAGGCGGAAUUAGAGCCUGUCCUGGAAAGGAUGAUGCCUUCGCGGGCACCUCUUUCCAUUACUCCAGUGCUCCCGUGAUUUUAAAUAUGUGCACUCUGCAGACUUCAGCCCUCUAGUGUCCUGGGUGAAUAAAUGCCAGGAUUGCUCCAAUGCCGGCAAACCUGAAACAGGAAUUUCUCUGCAUUAAGUUUGUCACCAAAAUGGGAGGUAAGGGGAGAGGGGAAGGAACUUCUUGGCCUCGUCAGCCCUUUUCUUGAAACUCACAGUCAAACUUUGUCAAGUUCUAGGUGAUAGUGCUUGAGGUGAUGCACUUAUUUAUGUUAUGUCUUGUUUUCUGAGUACGGUGCUUCGAGAAUUUAAAUAUUUAGGUGAAAUUGCCAUGCACAGUUGAAUUGGCACCAUAAUUUGACUCUCUGUAAAGCCUUUUGGUUUCCUGUUAGAGUGACCAUUUUUUGAGUCAACUGAAGCAAACCCUGCUGUCAGCACGAAGGAGCCACUUUAUAGUUAGAGAUCAAAUUAAAUAGAAUUCUCCUAAAUAGAGCGUGCUCUUUUCAUAAAUUUUAAAAAUUCAUUUAUUCAUCAAACACAUAUUGAGUACUUAUCACCCUGGUUGCUAGUUACUGUUCAUAUAUGUUUUUAAGGAAUUACUUCCACCUAGCUCUGAAAUAACAUUGCAUUUAGAAUUUAGCCCAGAGGUGAUUAAGCAUGAGCUUUUCACAGCAGUCCUGUUUUCAUUUUUACUUGAGAACAUGUUCUCAGACUCGGUGCCCAGCUGACGUUACCUGUGCGUUGCCCGAGGCACACACCUGGCCAGGGCUGUGUCUCUGGGGCUUCAGAGGAGGAAGGAAGGGCUGCCAGGCGUCUGGCCCUUCCACAUUUCCCUGGUGGAGGGAUUAGGCGUUGGGCAGGACUUUUGGCUUGUCUUAAUGGAUUAGCUGGUGUCUCUCAGUCAGCUCUGCCUUGGUGUUAAGCUCUGGACUGACUCUGACUUCUGAGUGGCAGAGGAGAGGGCGGUGAUUUAGAAUCAGUCAUGCAGACCAGGGCACUCAGCGGGUCUUGGGUAAAAAGUGGUGGCAAUCGAUUGCUUGCCCUUUUGGGAGAACUGUGUGGAUUGACUCCUCUGAAGACCUCUUUCUUUUGAUUUUAUCUUGAGACUUUGUAGAAGCAAAAAUGCCUUUAAACAAAAUUAAAUGAUGGGCUUUUGUAAUGUUUGUGUCUCCCCAAGAUUCACAAUUGGAAUCCUCACCCCCGAGGAGGUGGUGCUAGGAAGGGGAGCUUUGGGCGGUGAGGAGGUCGUGAGGGUCUCAUGAAUGGGAUUUGUGCCCUCAUAAAAGGGACUACAGAGAGCUCCCUCGCUCCUUCCACUGUGUGCGGACCCAGUGAGAAGGCGCCAUCUGUGAACCAGGAAGCCCUCACCAGACAAACCUGUCAGGCCUUGACCAUGGACUUCCCAGCCUGAGAGCUGUGAGAAAUGAACUUGUGUUGCUUGUCAGCCCCCGCCUAGCCUAUGGUGUGUUGUUACAGCAGCCUAGGUGGACGAAGGCAGGUUGUGAAUUUUCUGUCAUAUUUUCUGGCUUCAGAUACUUGGUAGGGAGAUGUCACCAUCUUACGCAGGUGGGACCGUCUGGAAUCAGACGUUAUGUUAUGAUUUGACCCUGUUCUUGCCCCACGCCUGUGCAGUUCACACCUCCAGGUGUCUUGGCUGCCCGCGGCCCCUCCAGGUGUUUCUGAUGCGGGGAUGUGGGUGCUGGUGCACACGAGUCCCAUGUGGUGCCGGUCGCAGCUAUGCCGUCGGGGAGCAGGACUAGGAGCUCCCGCCCCUUGUGAACCAGCAGCCUCACCGGGAAGUUGCUGAGAAGUGUAUGACGGAAGGUGAUCGCGCCUCGAGACUGAAACUUCCUGUUUACAGGGAACUGAGGUGCAUAGGAGGGAAUUUAAUGAUGCCCCGAGAGACAGAUGCAUCUGGGGGACGUUCUGCAGGACGUUGGCCCCAGACUCUCGAAAAGUCAUCACAGAUAAAGGGUGUGAGGCUGUCCCUGAUGAAGUUGGGGAAGGAGAGUCACUCGGCGCAGUGUGUGGCCCAGAUAGAAAAGACGUUUUCGGGAGAAUUGUGCUUAUUGAAUAUAAAGUGGACAGCGAUGCUCUGAAAUGGUUCUUUUCUGCCGAUGAUGGUUCUGCGGCUGCAGAGGGGCCUUUAUUCUUAGGGAACGCGUGCGUGAGGACUCGGCGAGGCGGCAGGAGCCUGUCACCUUCAAGUGGCUCCAGAGGAGAAACGAAUCUGUCUCUCUGUAUGAUCUACAGAGAGAGUGAGAGAGAGAGUGAGAAAGCAAAUCUGACGAAAUGUUAGUUGUCGGAACUCCACGUGGAGAAAACUUGGCCACUCAUUGUACUGUUCUUCCACUUUUUAAAUAUGUUUGAACAUUUUCAUAAUGAAAAUGUGGGAAAGUAAAAAUACAUCUGGAAAUUGGUAUGGAAGUGAGUCAAGCCAAGCACCCUUGGGUUCAGCCGGGAAGAGCCGACGAGCCAUUGGUGUUCUGUCGACUUGUCAUGGGGAUUUCCUCCUCCUGAGUUCACCACCUAGUUUUCCUUGUGAUAAAGUUAUUUUAUAUGUAGCUAUGAGCACAGGUUGAUGCUGAAAACACACGUGUAGUGUGGAUUGUCAUUAAGAAUGUGGAGAACUGGCUAAAGAAACCACUUGUCCAGUUUUGAGAUGAGCACUGCCUGCCUCAGCAUCUGUGGUAACAGCUUCACUUGGGUGCAGAGCUUGGCAGAGGUUUGAGUGACUCUGUCUCGAUGAUCGUCUGUCGGAGGACGAGGUUAAGUGUCACCACCGAGGACCCCGUUGAGCCUCUGGGCUGGAAGUAACUUCCCCUGGGCUGGUGUGGCAGCCUCUGGGGGUCUUUCCUGACAAGACCCUUCACUGAGCUGCAGUUUGGCCACCUCUGCCCUCGCCUCCCUGACUGCAGGGCCUCGAGGUCUCACCACCUCCAGCCUGAGCGCCCAGUGCCCAGGGGCAAUUUCCCGCCUUCCCCGGGGGCUCAGGAUGCCGGCUCCUGGGGCAGUGCCCGCAGCUGUGCCCCUCCUCCAGGGCUGGCCACGGCCUCCUGCUGUGUCGUACCAGCUGCUUCCCCGCAGCUGCAGCCCACACUGGGUGGCCGCUUCUGCUUCUGUUGGAUGAGGAGACGCAGGCCCUCGCCCAGGCCCCCAUGGGCCCUCGCCCAGGCCCCCAUGGGCCCUCAACGCCCCAGAGACCCAGCUUCCCGGCCUUGCCCCUACUGGCCCUAAGGCUGUGCCACCUCCCCCUGCCCAGCCCCUGGUCUCUGUACAGUGUCUGUCCAGGACGUCUAUCCAUCCAUCCUUGACAUCCUGUCCAGAUGAGGCCACUGUUAUCCCAGUCUGUGAGGGGCGAUUACAGCCCAGGUGCUGGCCGAUGUGGAGAUGCUGAUGGACUUCAGUGUGCAGGAAAGCGAGUUCCUUCAUAUCCACAGCCAGCUGGGAGCCCACCCCAUUCACAGGUGGAUUUGCCUUGUUUUUUGGCCCAAUCACCUACAUUAGAUCAGAAGAAUCACAGUUCCCUGCUCUUCUGGCUUUUGUGAUUGUCGACCUCUCUCCUCUGCCUUCUAUUGGAGGGUGGGGUGUGUCAUGGGUUCGUGGAAUCCUCUCUCUGUUCUUGUGUAGCCACCAGGGACUGUUAUCCAGGCUGAUUCCACAGGAGGAGUUUGGGGUGAGUUCCUGAGCGAGAGUUGGGAAGACUGACGUCUGCGUAAAUCUUGCUUGUUCGUGGUUAUUCCUCUCGGUCUUCUUAAAUUCUGAAAAAUUGGGGGCCAAUUAGAAAUAAAGAUUUAGGUAUGGAUCGGUGAGGACAGAAUGUUGAUCUAAUUGGCUUUACGUUGUGUGUGAUAAUUUUACGCUACCCUCCGGAAGAACUUAAGAUGUUGACAUUGUCGUGAGAAUCAUUUUUUUCUGUUUCUUUUUUUUUUUUUUUUUUUUGAGAUGGAGUCUCGCUCUUGUUGCCCAGGCUGGAAUGCAAUGGUGCAAUCUUGGCUCACUGCAAUCUCUGCCUCCUGGGUUCAAACAAUUCUCCUGCCUCAGGCCCCAAGUAGCUGAGAUUAUAGGUGCUCACCAACACACCCAGCUAAAUUUUUGUAUUUUUAGUAGAGACGGGGUUUCACUCUUAAGGACGUUGUUCAGUAAGUACUAAUUGGUGGCCUGCCGUUGAACUAAUUUCAGUGUAGUACUGACAUCAUCAGCCAUGGCAGAAACUUACUUGGCAUCCCUGGAAGAGAGGGCAGGGAAGCAUAGCAACCUGAAACCACCUCAUUCUCCAGCGCUACUUCCAACUCUGAACUGAUGGUCAUUACGAGUGGAUCUGCCCAGGACAAGUAGUUUAGUGUAGCUGCCUUGGACGGGCAGGUGAAAAGUAACAAACCGCCAGAAAACUCAGCUAAUAAAAUGUUAGGAGAGACUUGGGGCACCAGGAAGGGGUGAGGCCUGUCUCUCUGUGUGCCAUCUGUGUGGAGCCUCAGUAUCUAGGGGACAGCGUUGACGCCGAGCCCCAGGUUUUUAUUAGCGUUUCCCUGAAUAAAACGCCACUCGUAAGCUGUGGACUGGGAGGCUCUUUCUGAUGAUUAGGCUUCAUAAUGCGGGAUCGCUAGGCAAGGUGGACGUGAGGGCCAUAGGAUCUGGAGACUGUCCAGGGCUGCUUUCUGGAAGGCGGCCAGCCUGCUGGAGGGGGACAACAGGCUUGUCCCUUCAGCAGUGAAGCCACCAAAGAGAGUCUUUUUGAGAAUAAAAGAGAGAAGCUUUUAAGGAAAAAAGCAGUUUCUGUCUCUGUUUGGGAAUUGAGUGCAUUUUCCCGCAUUUAUACAGAGAUGUUCCUCAGUUCCCACUGUGUGCCGUGGCCCCGCUAUGGGGUAGGGUCACCCCACCGCGUACCUAACCCAGCAGAACUCCUCUGCAGUUAUUUCAGAGGCUGUUUGCAUUUCUUGUGCCUCAAUGGGUGGAGGGAGUUUUUCCUCCUACUGUUUUUAGUCACUUUUCUUAAUCUAGCCUGUUACUGGGAUAAGUUCCAGAGCCGAGCAGUUUUAAAAACAAUCUUUGCACCUUGCAUGGAGAGCAGUCCACCUGUGGGUGGUUUGUUCCCGGAGGUGCUGCAGUGGCCUUGGGUGACGCGAGGGCCCCCUGGCUCAGGAUGGGCUGAGGGAGGAGUGCGUGAGCAGUGGGCACCGGCUGGAGGCAGGGGAGGUGUGGCCACCUGUGGCUCAAACUCUCCCCAUCCACUCUAUGGCACCGCCUCGGACUCCCCGCGUCCGCUCUGCGGCACCGCCUCGGACUCCCCCCUUCCACUCUGCGGCACCGCCUCGGACUCCCCCCGUCUGCUCUAUGGCACCGCUGGAAUGUGAAUGCUGUUGCCCUGGACGUUUUCUCUCUCUGCUCAGUGCCCAGGCUCUUGGGUACACAGGCGGCCCCGGGUUUUAUUUGGAAAGGGUGCAGAGAACAAUGAAGUAACCCACGUGCCUAAGCUUUGAUUCACAUGAAGAAAUGUAGAGGCUGCUGAAAUCCUGGUCAUUUUAGAACAAAGUAUCUUAUUAACAUUUUUCUAAAAGAAAGAAAUCAUUAAAAAAUUGAUCCCGGUUGAGGUAGAAGGAUCUCCUCCUCAUCCUCCUCAGUUCCUUCCAGAAUCAGCUUCGAGUUCAGCUGCAGAACGGGUUCUGGUGGUGGCUGGAGCAGCCGAGGAGGGUGCCAUCGGGUCUGAGUUCACACCGGUGCCCGUGUGGUCUCCAGUUACGGUGCUGGCCGUGGAGUCUGGGUUCACACCGGUGCCCGCGUGGUCUCCAGUUACGGUGCUGGCCGUCGGGUCUGAGUUCACACCGGUGCCUGCAUGGUCUCCAGUUACGGUGCUGGCCGUCGGGUCUGAAUUCACGCUGGUGCCCGCGUGGUCUCCAGUUACAGUGCUGGCCGCUUGUAGCUUUCUGGGAAGUUAGAAGGAGGAUCAUUUCAUCGCCUCCCUGUCCUCCCACACCUUGACCUAUGCUGGGCCACCGCGAAUUCUUCCUUUUAACUGUUUCUCUCUUCACAGGCAACACUGGCGUUUUGUGGUCCUCGUUUGCCUCUUCUGAAAACGGAUUCUGUGUUGCUUUAUAGAAUCACAUGGUCUCUUUUACGAAUUUCGCUUUUCUUUCAUAAAAUAAUCGUGCUUUUAUCUCUUCAAUCUCAACUCUGUUCCCUGACACAGGCUCUAACCAGCUCAAAAAUUAAAAGUAAUCUUUGAUUACGCUUAAUACUUUCUAAAGUUUUCAAGUUUAUCAGCAUGUGGGUUACUGAACAUUGACUAUUUAUUUAAUGGAAAAUUACAUUCUAAGUAGAGUAUUAAAGUGAAAGUGAUCUUUUGAUUUUAUUAAAAUAUUCAGGUAAACAUAUUAAAAUGCCUUCGCCAAACUUCAUGCUUGUAUAUCAUGAAAACAUUAAGCUGCUAAGCUCUCUCUGCUCCUGGGAAUGCAUUACUAGAGUAUGUGUUUGCAGGUGUCAUUCCAGUCUUAGUUUUAGGUAUUUUUAAAGGGGUUGGCUGGAGAAGUGACAUUUAGCAUUGAGUGAAUGUUUGAUAAAGAUUUGUCUCUAUAUAAAAAUAUUUAAAAACAAUCUUUAGCGUUUCCUCUUAGGGUUCACCCAUUAAAGAAUGGUCUUGUAAAAAAAAAACACGUUAAGAGUGUUGGCGCCCAGAGGUGCUACCCUGCCCACAGUUUCAUCAUCCGCUGUCGCCAGGCGACACGUCCAGUGUUUAUCUGCAUGUCAGAUGUGGCCACAGGGCCACAGGACAUCCCUGCGGAUGGAUGUUCUUAUGCAGAUUAAUUAGGAUGGAGACUGCUGCAGAACUGUAAACCCCCCAGGGGCUGACGGAAGCCUGGGAACACCUGAGACACCAGAAUCCGCUGCUACAGUGGGUGGAAGGAAACCUCUCUGGAAGAUGGGACACGUAAUAAGGAGAAAGUACCAAGGCACAUGCUGCUUUGAAAACUGAGAUGUUUUAAUUAAAUUAACAAUUAAAAUAAUUUAAUUAUGUGAAUUAUUUGAACUCAUUUUAGUUCUUUUUAGGAAAUUAAUACUUUAAGCAAGUUUGUUUUUGUGAAUCGUUUGAAUUAAUUGAGUCAGCACAAAUGUUAGCAUUGAUAUCUGACCCCCUUCCAGGGUUGGGGCAGAGGAGAUGGGGGCGGAGGAGCCAGGCCUCCAACCCGCUUUCCCCUGGAGCUCAGCCAGAAUUCCCCAUUGAGGAGCCCUCAGCUCCCUGAGAGCCAGGAGCUCUUGCGGAGAAGCCACUGUCUGCACGCCACCUGCUUCGAUGACCCUGCUCUGCCAUCCCUGUGCUCCAAGGGCCAGGCCCUGCCGUUGCCUGUGCCAGACGGGUCUCAGGGAGAUGCCGGCCAGCAGGUAUGCAUGGUGAGGCCUGGGCAUCACGGCCCGAAUUCUGUGGCUGCCAGUUUCAUUCUCUCGUUGUUUGUCCCCCUAGCAAGACUUAUGAGGUUCCUUGAGGACAAGAACCCCUCCUCCCACCUGGUCUGUUUCCUGAACAUUCACUGCACUAGCAUGGCCCAGGGACAGCCCUUGGGAAUCAGGGCGUCAGCCACGGUAGAGCGGCUGGCACUGCUCAGCACCACGACGGACGUUGGCCGCUGUGCUUCGCUUUGGGGACAUGUUUAAGUACAAAACUAAUUUUAAAAUUUCACCAUUAUUUCAAGACAGCUGAGAGCAUAUUAGCACAGAAUCCCUGGUCUGAAUGAAAUCGAAGAGUUCUUAUUAAUUAUUCAUGGUGCCAUGAAUAUGUUACCUUAUUUUUUAUAAUUGCCAGUCUGUAUAAUUAACCUUUCAUUUAGUUAAAGUACUUAACAUUAAGUAGAGCUAUAAUUACAACUGUUUUUAAAAGUAUAUGGAAGAAUGUUUAAAUGUUUAAUUAGAACCACUUUUUUUAGCUUCAUAAAGAAUUUUUUUUACCUGUCAACAAGGAUCUUUAAUUAUUUAAACCAAAAGAGAAGAACAGACCAGAAAAGAAAAACAACUAGUCAAGCUGGGAACUGCGAUGGUAGCGUCGUUCCGUGAGUCUCGGGUUUUGCUUCUUGGGUUUGUGGUCAGAGUCCUUACCUUUGAUUUCCUAACACAGGUUGUUAGAGUUGGAAGUGAGCGUGGAGAUGAGUUAGUCCAACUUUAUUCUUUCACGGAUGAGAAAGCGAAUUAUCUUCAGCAAGGUGGGUGCAGGUGUGGCCCCCGGGGGACACUGUGGGGAACAGGCCGCCCUCGUGGGGAGCCAAGUUCGUCGUCUCUGGGACAGAGCCCAGGACACUUCCCCGGCUGGCUGGCCUCUUCCUAGAACCCCACACAUUGCAAAGGAUGGAGUCCAGAUCUAUACCAUAAAGAAACGAGGGCGGUUACAGAAAGCACCACAAUCUCCGCUGAGUGGCUCUGGGCACCCCAACGUUGGGACACCUCAGCAUCAUGUCUGGCAAUCCUCAGGCUGUGCCCAGCGGUAAGGCUGGGCCCGAUCAAGGCUGCGGUGUCCACCCUGAGAGCGAGGGCUUCCUUCCCCCAGUGUGGGUUAAAGCAGUGAGGCCGGGCCUGAUUGAAGCUGCGGUCUCCACCCUGACAGCUUGAGCUUCCUUCCCGCAGUAUGGGUUAAAGCAGUGAGGCUGGGCCUGCUGGAGGCUGUGGUCUCCACUCUGAGAGUGAGGGCUUCCUUCCCCCCAGUGUGGGUUAAAGCACCAUGUGUCCACCUAUGCAGUGGCUGGUCCCAAUGUGCCCUGAGGGGCAGAAACCCUGGGUCCUGCCGCUGGUCUGGGGUAUCUACUUCCCAUUCCUGCAGUUCCUGGGAGUGUCUGUGUGUCCAGGGGGCUCCGAUCCCUGCCUCAGGACCACAGGUGAGGGGUCAAGAUCGCCCGCUUUGGAGUUGGCCCGGAUCUUGGUUCUGUGUGGCUCUGGAGCAGUUUUGUCCUCAGGAGAGGGAUCCUCACAGCCGCCUCUUGGGACCAUGAGGAGAAUUAAUAGGAUGACCCCCAGGUAGCUACUCGUAGCCCUGUGCGGGGCCAACCGUGUGUCUCCACCGCCAGUUCCUUCCGUCUGUGCUCCGCCCAACUGUCACAUCACCAGCCUUUAUUUUCUUUUUCUUAGACUCAGACAGCGAGUGCCCCACUGGCCUCAGCAGCCCCUUCUCUAACCUGUCCUCAAGUCAGUUCCUCACCGACAGCCCUGACCACCCAUUGGCAUGACCAAAACCCCACCAAAUAGAACCCAACUUUCCUAUUAAGCAGUGCAGAGCUGUCCCAGCCCCACUUCCCACAGGCUGGCGUCAUUCGCCAUGGGAUCCGUGGUUCUCACCUGGGGCUGGGGGUGCCCCUGGCAUCUGGUGGGGAGUGUCAGGGAUGCCCUUCCAGGUCCAGGAUAGUCCCCCAGCUGGUGGCCGGCAGACAGCAGCACACAGCCUGAUGUCCCUGUGGCUUCCGGUUCCCCGAGGCCAGCUGUGCUUUGCUGCCUCUUCAUCUUCUCAGACGGGUGCCCUCUCUCCACCUUCGCUGGUUAGCAAUGUUCAUCCAUUAGAGCUCAAAGCACUGCCUGCUGGCAGCACAGCCUCUUCUCUUGGCCCUCUGUCCACCUGUGCCCCACGGUCUGUUCCGUGUCCCCGCCUUCCGCCUGUGCCCCAUGGUCUGUGCCAUGUCCCCGCAGGCCCAUUAGAGCAAGGCUCCCAGGGACAGAGCGUUUCCUGUUUGUGUCUCUGUCCCUGGCACCAUGCCCGUUGCCAACAGAGGUCUUGGGUUGAUUGUCACCAAAGCAGAUAAUCUAUAUGGCUGUAAAUGGCUGUAAACAUGCUUGAUUGGGGUAUUUUUUAAAUAAUUGGAUAUGUAAACAUUUGAAUGUGACACAGGUGGAUUUUUGGGCCAAUGGUCUCGUUCUUCAGGGAAUAACCACAGGCCCAUCCACAAGGACCAUUUCUGGCUGAUUUAUGGAACACUGUUCUACCUGGUUAAUUUUGGACGUUAUCUCAGCCUGAGAGGUAGGUCAGCAUGUGAUGAAGAUCACUGGUUUGAAUCCUAAUCUGCUACUUAGAAGCUGCAUAUUUUCCUGCCAUGUUCUGUGCCUCAGUUUCUCGCUUGGUUAGGUAGGAAAGGUAUGAGCUACCUCAGAGUCGUGAGUGAGGCCUGCAUCGAGUGUCUGCAUUAAAGUGCCGAGAACUGGACCCAGAGUGUUGAUAUUUAAAGACCUUUACACAUUCCGAUGCUGCAUUUUAGUACCCCGGUAAAACAGCAAAGUCGUUACAGAUGCAGACACAGACCCUCGGUGAGGUGGGGGGCUGAUGGCGGGAGGUGGGUCACCGACCCUGUAACGAGGGCGUGGUCUGUUCGAGGCUGAAUGAAGUGCACGUCUUCACGUGUACCACGGUGGUGCCUCUCGUGAAGUCCUGUAAGCGUCCACGUGGCUGAGCCGUGCGGUCUGUUUGUGACGUCUGGCAGGAGCAGAGCUUUUGGGCGCAGCCUCGCUCUUGUGUGCACGGCCCUCAACGAUCUCAAAAGUCUGAGGCUUAAAGCAGGCUUGGGGCUUCCCUUACACCUCCCGGACAUCUAAUUUGCCUGGCAAACAUGUUAUUCUUGGGUGUAAAGGUGAAGGAGUGGGUGACUCUGGUGAAAGUGUACUAAUUACUGCACUUCUGGGUCAGUGGCGCUCGGUUGAAGACACUAUCUACCCUGGGUGGACAUCUCUGGUGUGGUGAGAACCGGCGGCUGGAUGUCGCGAGGUUGCCAAGAAGAUGCCCGCUUUUUCCUUUUUCCUCAGUAACAAAACCCUACUUUGUUUAGGGAAGCAGCGAACCCAGCUGAAAAUCCAAUUCUCUUGUACGGCGGAGCAGCUGGUGACACAGGUCCAGAUGCUGGGAUGCUGAUGGGGGGUUCUGGAGAGGGAGGUGUCGGGAGGGUUUCCCGACCCACAGCAGCCCUGGGCCCUUGUCCGGCCUUCUUGCCCGGGGCAUGACGCCUGGAGGGAAAGCAGCUUCGGGGGCCUGAGGGCCGCAAGGCAGAGUCCUGGUGUGUGGGGCAGGCCUGGGCCAGGCUCCUUGGAGGAUGUUACAGAGCCACUGCGUGUGCGGGGACCACCCACCUCUGAGCCCCACGCAGAUUUUCCUCCAUAGCCGAGCGAAAUCCUGGUACGGCGAACGAGGCAGUCAGAGGCACCUUUUGUGGAAGGAGGACAAAGCUGGAGGGAAAGAGGUUUUCCUAAAAGGCACAAGGCGCUGAUACUGCGUUAGGAGUAAUUCGUAGGAGCAUGGUUGUUGGUGGGUGGAAAACUGUAGCCAAAGAAUAAAUGGGAAUGGCCCUUCUUGGUAUUUAACUGAUUCGUUCACGAAUGGUCCAAACAGUUGUAGUGAAAAAAACAUUUUGGACACAGAUGUUUUCAUCCUGCCUGACGAUCGACGUGACCGUGGGGUGUUCCAUCCUUCCUGGGCAACAGUGAGAGGGCCUGACGAUCGGCGUGACCGUGGGGUGUUCCAUCCUUCCUGGGCAACAGUGAGAGGGGCUCAGGCCCUUCUGGCCCCAUGCAGGCAUUUCCCCAGGGUGUGUCCCCCGUCCUGAGUAGGCCGGAAUGCAUCUGGGUGCAGCUGAGCCUCUUGAAAAGGGAAGAGUCAUGUGACAUGCUCUCGGUGAACAGGAAAAUGAGGGAGGACAAGGAGAGGGGCCUGGAGGUGAGGAGGAUGGUGAGCAACACCAGGGAUGGGAUGGAGGGUAACCCCGGGGACGGGGGGACAGAGGGUAACACCGAGGAUGGGGGAUGGAGGGUAACACCACUUCUCCAGGUGCCUUUGGGGGAUGCUGCCACCCCUCCCACCCCAGAGUGAAGUCAACAGGAUUCUGUCCCCAGGAGCCCCAGAGCCUGGCAGCUGGGAUUGGCCCAGUAUGAACCACUGUUCACUGGCUCUGCACCCUGGGACAGGCUCCCUGGUGUUUCCGCCCCAGUUUCCCAUCUGGACAGUGAGACCCUGACUGUCCCCGUCACAGGCGCACAUGGAGCCCUGGACUCUAGCAUGUCAUUGGCACUCGUUAGUGUCAGCCCUCGUUAGCGUUUCUUUUGUCGUGGUCCACGGAUGAAGUGGAUCUUUCUUUGUGUAUUCACAGACCUCCUGCUCACUUUACCUUCUGGGAACACUUUGUAAAUAGCUUCGUAUGUGGGGAGGACUCAAGUGAUUAAUUGAAUAUUUCAUCAGGUGCAGUUCUCUGUGUCCCAGCUUGCAAAAUGCUCUUUUGACACAACAUUUGGUGAAAUUUCCAGGGACUCCUGUGGUCAGCCUCAUGGUUUCACUCUGUCACUUUCUAAUGCCGUGUUCUUUGGGAGUCUUUUAAAUUAAGCGCCGUCAUUUAAAAGUAAGUUUUAUAAUAUGCAGUUUCAGGUUACUUCUUUACCUUUGUGUCUUAGGCAGUGGCUUCCCACCUGUGAGUAGUCAGAAAGGUUCACACAGUUUUCCAGGGCGGCCUUUGCAUUUACUGGAACUAUUAAGAGCUCGUUCCUGCUUUGGCCGUGAUUGAAGCGCAGUGUGCGUGAGGUCGUGCGUGGCUUAGCAUCUUCUGCAGGCUAGAGGUCACUUUCGUCCUUCCCCGAGCCUGCUCUGCUGUGCUGAGUGUUCCCUGUGGGCGACGGUCAUACUGUCUGGCACAGGCCACCGAGGCCACAGGGCAGGCCCCACGUAGUGGAGCCUGCAGAAAGGCAGAGCCUGGCCUCCUCGCCGCCUUUCACAGGGAGCAGAAAGCGUAAGCCUGUUAUUAGAGCUGUGCUAGCCCAGAAAGCCUCCGAACAGUGUUUAAUUUAGGAAUCGGCUCCUACCAACUGCCCAUUUUUAGGAUGUAUUUGAGUUUUUGUGAUUUUUUUUUUCUGCACUGAAGCUACUGUGCUGGCUCUGAGUCACUGUCAUGGGACUUCACGUUGCCCCGAUGGGAAGCGGCGGGGGAGGAGGGCUGCACAGAGGCUUGCGGCCGUGAUAAUGAAGGGCUUGUUGCUUCUUGGGACAGUGAGUUCAAGCUGUUUGUAAUUGUCAGCGUAAACAGUGACCCGCUGAGGACACAGCUGUAAUUCAGGGUGGCAUGGUUGAUUGUCAUCGUUAAUAUCAGGCACCUGCGUCUAAAAUGACGGUGCCUGUAGUGCGGCUCCAGGAGGGCUGGGCAGCUCCUGCUCAACACACAUGCUCCUGGGCCCUGGCAGCCAAGGUUGCACCGCCGGCCAGGCCUGCAGCUGUGGGUGCAGCAGGGCCUUCAGGGCACCGAGCGCCUCCCUCGUUUGCUCGUGGGGCCCACCCCUCCGUCCCCAGUGUGGCUCCCCCCCGGGUUCUCCCGGCCACAUGCACACCUCCGUCUUCACAGCUUCCGUAGUUUUCUCGUGGGUGCCCCAGGUGAGCUCCUGGGGAGGGUUCAUGUGUCAGUCAGGUUCUCUCCAAGCGUCCCUGGCUCGUGGCUCAGCAGGUCCCUUUCAGAUGAGUCAGCCAGCUGUGUGCCUGCAUAUUCAGCAUACUUGUCAGGGGGCUGCCUCAGGUCAGAGCAAGACCGACGCUCGCCUCCGUGGGACUUUGGAGCCCGCCCUGGAGAGACUCCAGCCACGUCCAGAGGGGCUGCCCGGGCCCCCGUGGGCUGGUGGGAGUGACUUCCAAGCCACUCAAGGCCCCACUUUGUAUUCCUACACCCUAGAAAGCCACUUAAAGAGCCGUGUUCUGGUGCUGUGUGCCUCUUGAGUGAGGCACAAAAGCCUGGAUGUGGAGCUGAGCGGGCGCUGCCUUCCUCAGGCUGUGCUUGUGUUUUGGGGCCCCUGGAGCACUUGUGGCUGUGAUUUUCGACGCUGUCUGUGGGCUCCCCUAGAUGGUCCCACCUGCAGCGUGAGGGCCCCAUCUGCAGCCACCGAGGAGCUGGCAGGUCCGGCUUUGGUCCCACUCAGUCCUUCUCAACUUUGGUGACAGAGGUGACAGCAAAGCUUCAGCUGGGAGCCCCAGGCCUUCUCCACUUGGGACCCUGGGACCGAGAUAACACAGAUCCCUCCAUCCACGUGCUGGGGGCCUCGCCGUGCGGCUCCCUUCUCUGGUCAGGGGCUGCGCCCUUGGGCUGGGCAGUUCCCGAGUCCUCGCACUCAGGGGCUCAGGGUGGGUCCUGGGUGCAGAGAGAAGGAGCAGGGUGGCGGUUCGAGCCCAACUGUGUUGGCUUCAUCUUCGACCUCUUGUCUCUAAAUAUAUUUGCGAAGUUUUCCAUAUGAAAACUCAGAAGGAAUUUUUAAUGACUGUGUAAUCUGUGAAUGCUGUGGAAGCCAAGUCUGUCCGCCUCUUUCAUCCACCUCACUUCUCACUGUUGGGGCUGAUUUUGGCAGCAUUCAUAGGGGUAUGGAUGCAAGGGGCAGUGGCCAGCCCUCGGCCCUGCAUCCCUCCCCUGCUCCCCACAGCCCUGCAUCUCUCCCCUCUUCCCCUUGGCCCUGCAUCCCUCCCCUGCUCCCCUCAGCCCUGCAUCCCUCCCCUCCUCCCCUCAGCCCUCGGCCCUGCGUCCCUCCCCUCUCCCUUCAGCCCUGCAUCCCUCCCCUCUUCCCCUCAGCCCUGCAUCCCUCCCCUCUUCCCCUUGGCCCUGCGUCCGUCCCUCCCCUCCUCCCCUCAGCCCUCGGCCCUGCGUCCCUCCCCUCUCCCUUCAGCCCUGCAUCCCUCCCCUCUUCCCCUCAGCCCUGCAUCCCUCCCCUCUUCCCCUUGGCCUUGUGUCCAUCCCUCCCCUCCUCCCCUCAGCCCUCAGCCCUGCAUCCCUCCCCUCCUCCCCUCAGCCCCACAGCAUUUCGGUUUCAUCCCCUUCUCUGCACCCGUCCUCAUGAAAACCUAAGUGCGGCUGGAGGGAGACGCCUGUGCCCAUUCCCGUGACCUCCCUCGCCAGCACGGCUGCAGCGUCCCCUUGGCAGGCAUCCGUCUGGUGCUGCCUCUGUGCCCCCUCCUGUCAAGUGCGGCUGGAGGGAGAUGCCUGCGCCCGUUCCUGUGACCUCCCUGGCCAGCCCGGCUGCAGCAUCCCCUCGGCAGGCAUCCAUCUGGUGCUGCCUCCGUGCCCCCUCCUGUCACCUGAUGCUCGUGCUCCUGAAUCUUCAUAUGCGUGCUCCGUGCAGCCACCUCACUGGCUCCCUGGGAAGGGUGACAAUGUCUCACGCCUGUCAGAAUGCUCCUCUCUGUGCACUGAAUAUUCCAACACAGAAUCAUUCCUCUGUGAUGAUUUAUGCUUUGCUCUGUAGAAUUGGAAUAAAGAAAAAGUGAAUUUAGACAUUACAGCCAUCAGGCUGAAGCUGGGUAAUUGCAUUAGGGAGUUAAAUGAGAGCAUUUGAGCUUCUCGAGCUCUAAUUCCAAAUCUUCGUAUCCCCAUCACCCCAUACCCAGUGUCUAACACAGCUCUUGAUCUAGUAGUUUCUUGAUAAAUGCUUAUUGAAUUGAACUGGACUGAGCUUAACAUUCCCACCCGGAGUUAGAAGCCAGUCCCUGAGCAAGUUGCAUUUAGAACGUGAAGAACGUGAGUUUGACGUUACUGUGGUAAGGGGUAUCCUACACAUCAUAAUUCCAAGUCAAUAUCGGGUAUUUAGUCAAAUGGACUCAAGUAUAGAGAGGCAUUGGCCCAUCGGCGAAAGGGCAAGGCAUGGUGCUUUAGGUCCAGGUCCCUGAUAUCAACUAUGAAAAUAAAAUGUUGUCAACUCCAAUUACAGCCCUGUCCUCAGCUGGUCACUGUUUAUGCUAACAGUUAUAAACAGCUUGAACUCGCUGUCCUGAGAGGCAACACGCCUUCCAUUCUCACUGCAAUGCAGCUGCUUUGGUGGAUGGAACAUGCCCCUCUUCCCUCCCUCCCUCCCUCCCCCUUCUUCUCUCCCCCUCCCUCCCUCCCCCUU